GCACUGAGAAUCUUCUUGCGCCAUCUACGACAAGACCGGUAAGAAGGGGAUUUCCCGUUGAUGUUGUUGUGUUGUUGUGUUGUUGUCAUCGGCCAUAUUCAUCGGGCGAUCAACUUGUGAAUUUCCAUUCGCAGCUUAUUAUAAUAUAGUGUACGUCGUGUCAGCUUGUCAGGAUCAGGUGAGAAUAACCUGGUAAAUGACAAAAUGGAUCUCGAUCCGUACUCUGUGGCUUUUGGUGAAUGCCUUAGUGAGUUGGGGUCAAAUUUCAUGCAAAAGUACUGGGCUCAUAUAA